CUACCUCUUGAUGCUGGGGGAUAACUUAGCCGAAAGGUUAGCGUAAUACCGCAUACNAUCGUUUUGGGGCAUCUCGAGACGAUGAAAGGAGCAAUCCGCACGGAGAGGGGACUGCGUCCCAUUAGUUAGUUGGUGGGGUAACGGCCUACCAAGACUCCGAUGGGUAGCUGGCUUGAGAGAGCGACCAGCNCACACUGGAACUGAGNACACGGUCCAGACUCCUACGGGAGGCAGCAGUGNAGGAAUUUUCCGCAAUGGGCGCAAGCCUGACGNAGCGACGCCGCGUGUGGGNAUGAAGGCCUUCGNGGUCGUAAACCACUNUCGAAGGGGACGAUAAUGACCG
rnacentral:rRNA from 1 species